UACGAAGGGGGCUAGCGUUGUUCGGAAUUACUGGGCGUAAAGGGCGCGUAGGCGGUACUUCAAGUCAGGCGUGAAAUCCCGGGGCUCAACCCCGGAACUGCCUUUGAUACUGGCAUUCUCGAGUCCGGAAGAGGUGAGUGGAAUUCCGAGUGUAGAGGUGAAAUUCGUAGAUAUUCGGAGGAACACCAGUGGCGAAGGCGGCUCACUGGUCCGGUACUGACGCUGAGGUGCGAAAGCGUGGGGAGCAAACAGG
rnacentral:rRNA from 1 species